rnacentral:rRNA from 1 species
AACGAACGCUGGCGGCGUGCUUAACACAUGCAAGUCGAACGCGAAAUUUUUCUUCGGAAAGAGAGUAGAGUGGCGCACGGGUGAGUAACGCGUAAGUUAUCUACCCCGGCAUCUGGAAUAACUCACGGAAAGGUGUGCUAAUACCGGAUACGUUGAGAGAUCAAGAAAGGUGGCCUCUGGAUAUGCUACCGUACUGGGAUGAGCUUGCGUACCAUUAGCUAGUUGGUAGGGUAAAGGCCUACCAAGGCGACGAUGGUUCGCGGGUCUGAGAGGAUGACCGGCCACACUGGAAAUGGAACACGGACCAGACUCCUACGGGAGGCAGCAGUGAGGAAUAUUGCGCAAUGGGGGCAACCCUGACGCAGCGACGCCGCGUGGAUGAUGAAGGCCUUCGGGUCGUAAAAUCCUGUCAGAUGGAAAGAAGUGUAUGGUGGAUAAUACCUGCUGUACUUGACGGUACCAUCGAAGGAAGCACCGGCUAACUCCGUGC